rnacentral:misc_RNA from 1 species
CGGACCGAGACUGCCAGCAAUCCAUGGUGGAAGCCCGCACCCUCCUCGCCCAGCUGAUCAACGCGGACGCGGAAGAGAUCGCGCUGGCCACCAGCACCAGUUUCGGCAUGUCCCUGGCUGCCCGUGCCCUUCCGGUCAAGGCGGGCGAGACCGUGCUCAUUUCGGAUCGGGAGUUCCCCGCGGUUGUCUAUCCAUGGCUGAUGCUCAAGGCGCGGGGCGUGAAGGUCGAGCUGGCUCCGGUGACCGCGCAGGGCUGGCCGGACGAAAACUUUCUCCUCGAGCGCCUGGCGGACCCCUCGGUGCGGGUGCUUUCGAUUUCCUGGGUUCAGUUCUCCA